rnacentral:rRNA from 1 species
GUGGGGAAUAUUGGACAAUGGGCGGAAGCCUGAUCCAGCCAUGCCGCGUGUGUGAAGAAGGCCUUUUGGUUGUAAAGCACUUUAAGCGAGGAGGAGGCUCUUAAGGUUAAUACCCUUGAUGAGUGGACGUUACUCGCAGAAUAAGCACCGGCUAACUCUGUGCCAGCAGCCGCGGUAAUACAGAGGGUGCGAGCGUUAAUCGGAUUUACUGGGCGUAAAGCGUGCGUAGGCGGCUGAUUAAGUCGGAUGUGAAAUCCCCGAGCUUAACUUGGGAAUUGCAUUCGAUACUGGUUGGCUAGAGUAUGGGAGAGGAUGGUAGAAUUCCAGGUGUAGCGGUGAAAUGCGUAGAGAUCUGGAGGAAUACCGAUGGCGAAGGCAGCCAUCUGGCCUAAUACUGACACUGAGGUGCGAAAGCAUGGGGAGCAAACAGGAUUAGAAACCCUGGUAGUCC